GACACUAUGGCCGAGUGGUCUAAGGCGGUAGAUUAGAAAUCUACUCUCUUCGGAGGCGUCGGUUCGAGUCCGACUGGUGUCG
rfam:Aspergillus cristatus strain GZAAS20.1005 Scaffold_Scf_13, whole genome shotgun sequence.